rnacentral:rRNA from 1 species
UACGUAGGGUCCGAGCGUUGUCCGGAAUUAUUGGGCGUAAAGGGCUCGUAGGCGGUUCGUCACGUCGGGAGUGAAAACUCAGGGCUUAACCCUGAGCCUGCUUCGAUACGGGCAGACUAGAGGUAUGCAGGGGAGAACGGAAUUCCUGGUGUAGCGGUGAAAUGCGCAGAUAUCAGGAGGAACACCGGUGGCGAAGGCGGUUCUCUGGGCAUGAUCUGACGCUGAGGAGCGAAAGUGUGGGGAGCGAACAGG